UUAAAGCUUAAUACGGUGUUUUGAAGCUUAAUACAGUGUUUUCAAGCCUAAAGUCUAUUGCAUAUUAUGGUCCCAAGUGUCGGUUGUUGAAGCUGCAAAAGGUUAGUUUUUAUUUUGUUGUUAGUAAUAUUUAAUGAAAGUGAUCCCAAAAUGAGUGUGUUUAUGGGUUUAUUUACUAUUUUCUUGCUUAAUGUAGUGUUGCUUUGUGUAAAAAGAAU
rnacentral:lncRNA from 1 species